UGGGGAAUUUUGGACAAUGGGCGCAAGCCUGAUCCAGCCAUGCCGCGUGCAGGAUGAAGGCCUUCGGGUUGUAAACUGCUUUUGUACGGAACGAAACGGUCUGCCCUAAUACGGCGGGCUAAUGACGGUACCGUAAGAAUAAGCACCGGCUAACUACGUGCCAGCAGCCGCGGUAAUACGUAGGGUGCGAGCGUUAAUCGGAAUUACUGGGCGUAAAGCGUGCGCAGGCGGUUUUGUAAGACAGAGGUGAAAUCCCCGGGCUCAACCUGGGAACUGCCUUUGUGACUGCAAGGCUGGAGUGCGGCAGAGGGGGAUGGAAUUCCGCGUGUAGCAGUGAAAUGCGUAGAUAUGCGGAGGAACACCGAUGGCGAAGGCAAUCCCCUGGACCUGUACUGACGCUCAUGCACGAAAGCGUGGGGAGCAAACA
rnacentral:rRNA from 1 species